rnacentral:rRNA from 1 species
UACGUAGGGUGCAAGCGUUGUCCGGAAUUAUUGGGCGUAAAGAGCUCGUAGGCGGUUCGGUAAGUCGGGUGUGAAACCUCCAGGCUCAACCUGGAGACGCCACCCGAUACUGCUGUGACUAGAGUCCGGUAGGGGAGCGUGGAAUUCCUGGUGUAGCGGUGAAAUGCGCAGAUAUCAGGAGGAACACCAGCGGCGAAGGCGGCGCUCUGGGCCGGAACUGACGCUGAGGAGCGAAAGCGUGGGGAGCAAACAGG